GACGAACCGUACAAACGUUAUUCGGAAUCACUGGGCUUAAAGGGUGCGUAGGCGGCGCGGAAAGUUGGGUGUGAAAUCCCUCGGCUCAGCCGAGGAACUGCGCCCAAAACUGCCGUGCUUGAGGGAGAUAGAGGUGAGCGGAACUUAGGGUGGAGCGGUGAAAUGCGUUGAUAUCCUAAGGAACACCAGUUGCGAAAGCGGCUCACUGGAUCUUUUCUGACGCUGAGGCACGAAAGCUAGGGUAGCGAACGGG
rnacentral:misc_RNA from 1 species